UUAUGGCUCAGGAUGAACGCUAGCGGCAGGCUUAACACAUGCAAGUCGAGGGGCAGCGGGAUGUAGCAAUACAUUGCCGGCGACCGGCGGAUGGGUGCGUAACGCGUAUGCAACCUACCUUAUACAGGGGAAUAACCUUUCGAAAGGGAGACUAACACCCCAUAGUAUUGAUUUAAGGCAUCUUAGAUUAAUUAAAUAUUUAUAGGUAUAAGAUGGGCAUGCGUAUGAUUAGCUAGUUGGUAAGGUAACGGCUUACCAAGGCGACGAUCAUUAGGGGUUCUGAGAGGAAGGUCCCCCCACACUGGUACUGAGACACGGACCAGACUCCUACGGGAGGCAGCAGUGAGAAAUAUUGGUCAAUGGGCGCAAGCCUGAACCAGCCAUGCCGCGUGCAGGAAAGACGGCCUUAUGGGUUGUAAACUGCUUUUACAUAAGACUAACCGUAUAUUUGCGAAUAUACCUGAAUGUAUUAUGAGAAUAAGGAUCGGCUAACUCCGUGCCAGCAGCCGC
rnacentral:rRNA from 1 species